GAUGAACGCUGGCGGCGUGCUUAACACAUGCAAGUCGAACGAGAAUCAACGGAUUGAGGAUUCGUCCAAAUGAAGUUGAGGAAAGUGGCGGACGGGUGAGUAACGCGUGAGGAACCUGCCUCGGAGUGGGGAAUAACAGUUGGAAACAGCUGCUAAUACCGCAUAAUGCAACGGAAUCGCAUGACUCUGUUGCCAAAGAUUUAUCGCUCUGAGAUGGCCUCGCGUCUGAUUAGCUAGUUGGUGAGGUAACGGCCCACCAAGGCGACGAUCGGUAGCCGGACUGAGAGGUUGAACGGCCACAUUGGGACUGAGACACGGCCCAG
rnacentral:rRNA from 1 species